UACGAAGGGGGCUAGCGUUGUUCGGAAUUACUGGGCGUAAAGCGCGCGCAGGCGGUCCUUUAAGUCAGGGGUGAAAGCCCAGAGCUCAACUCUGGAACUGCCUUUGAAACUAGAGGAUUUGGGUACGGGAGAGGUGAGUGGAAUUCCGAGUGUAGAGGUGAAAUUCGUAGAUAUUCGGAAGAACACCAGUGGCGAAGGCGGCUCACUGGCCCGUUACCGACGCUCAGGCGCGACAGCGUGGGGAGCAAACAGG
rnacentral:rRNA from 1 species